GGACACAUCAGGGUGAAGACGCAACAGCAAGUGUGGUACAGUUGCAAGGUCGAACUUUUAUGAGACGAAGACACGAGUGCAUGUUCCUUCCUAGCUUUUGGUCCAAAGACAGUCAGGGGUGCCUUAUCAACGUGUACACUAAUUUUAUGGUCAACGCGUGUUGCAGAACGAUUUUAGAUAUUACAACAUUGAAUAGUAGAAGUCCUCUGAGAUACUGAGUACUGCACAACACCCGCCUGCUAGCAACCAAGCCUUUCAUUCACUUUCUGGAACCAAACGCAAAUUCAUGUAUCUAUUGUAUUUUAAUGAUAGCUAAAUAGAUACGUUUGUCAUUACUUGUUUCUUUUACUUUGAUAUAAAAUAAUGUCGAUAAAGUGGUAAUUAAUAAUAAAGGUAUGGUAAUUGUUUGAGUACUUUCGAAUUUAAUCCGCUAAAUUGAUCUGUAAAUAUUGUGUUUGGGAUUGUUGAUUUCUGCAGUAACAGAAGAUAUCUAAAACCAAAAGGUUUUUUAAAAGUUUGUAAAUAUUCAUAGCAUUUUGUAAAUUAUUGAGUUUGAGCAUUUUAAGAAUACACGUUUAAGAUUUUCCAACAGCCCACAUUUAUAAAUACAAUUUGUGUGAAUUUACGAUUUUGCUUCUUGAAAAGCUAUUCUGUAUUUUAUU